ACUGGAGCACUGGUUCCUGGAGAGAUUAUGAGGUCACCAUGCUGUGGGGAAGUCCAAGCCACAAUGAGGAGUCAGAUCUCAUGAUAGACAACAUGAACAAGAGGAAGAAGGAAAAAGAGGAAAAGGAGGAGAGGAUGAGAAGAAUGGCCAAUCUGGGGUGCCAAUGUGAUUUUGAACCAGGCAAGAAACUAGAAAUUCAACCUGGAGAACUGGACUUCCAUUGAACCAAAUGAUCCCAUGUUCCUCUUGGACUGGCAUUUAUUUGCUGAAUACUUCCAUGUUCCUAUCUCAUGCUAGCCUCUCUGUUGGUGCAGCUCUGGAAACACUCAAGUUCACAAUGGCCCCAAGAGGCAGGUGAUUUUGAACCUGACAAAGAAGCAUUCCUGCCUGCUGGGAUGACAGGCUGCAAAAGUUAAGUAAAGAUUGAAGUAAAAAUAGACAAUAAAUUUCGAGAGAGAGAGAGAGGAAUACAAAAAUAUCCCAGGGCAACUGAAAACUGUCAUCCAAACAUAUGAAAAUGUUCCAGAUAGUUUAAUGAUAAGCAGGAAAUUGCUGAAAAAAAACAACAGUCAUAGAAGGAGAAAAUUGCAGUUAGGAGGGAGGACUAAACUGAGCUAAGUGUCUGUGUCAUAGAGUUUAUUAUUUUAUUAGUUUUAAUAGUUGGACAGAUAAGCUAAUAGCAAUAGGAUUUACUUUAAAGAUCAACACCGCAGACUCUGCUGUUUAUUAUUCGAUAGUAAUGUGUCUCCAGUGAGGGGAAUAUUAAAUCUCAUAAAAAGCCAUUCCUGCAGUUGAUCCAGGCCCUUUCCAAGUUGCACGCACAUGGAUUUUCCCCUAUUAGUUCCCAUCUCUGGCAGGAGUUUUGUUUGUAUAAUACUUACAGGGACAUCUGCUCCUUGGGAAUCUGUGAGAGCCAUUUCAGCUCCUAGUUUGGGUUCUACGACCAGAGGAUGGAACUGGAGAUCACCUUUCUCAUUCUUUUAGCAAGAGCUGAUUAACUCAUUUGGAUCCUGAAUAUACUUGGAGUUUUUAAGUUUCUAUCAGUAUCCAUUUAUUGGAUUCUAGUGUAAUUUUGUUACAUGGCUAUAUUGUGUAGUAGUGAAGUCAGAGCUUCCAGGGUAUUCAUCACCCAAAUAACGUAUAUUAUACUCAUUAAGUAAUUUCUCAUCAUCCACAACCCUCCUGCUCCCCCAGCCUUCCAAGCCUCCAUUGUCUAUCAUUCCAUAUCCUGAAUCUGUUUCUAUGACAUAGAUGGGAAACUCAGUGUGGGAGAUGGGACACCCAUAUCUCUGAAAAUUACCGUGAGAGUUAAAAGCAAUAACACUUUUAACUCAACUAGCAUAGUGCCUGGUAAAUCCAGAACACACACCCACUAUAUAGGGAAAUGGUAAGUGUAGCAGAUGUUUGUGGAUUCUGUAGUCAGAAUGUCUGGGUUAAAAGUCCUAGUUCUGAUGUUCACAUAGUUUCAAAUAUCUCCCCACAAGAUACUCAUUAAUUACACAGGGAAAAAUAGUCACUUUACAGUGGAGGAAACUGCAGAAACUACCUUAACCAAAUGAUCAAAGCUAAACCUCACCAAUAACAGGGCACAGUGCCAGCACAUACCUUCUAAUACGACACACUGCGGAGAACAUAACAUUACUUCUGUGCUGUUCCUGUCAAAAGCACCCACCAUAAAUCUAAUGUGACAAAUCCAAAUUGAUGAACUUUCUGCAAAAUAACUGUCCCGUACUCUUUAAAACUGUCAAUACAUCCAGCACAGUAAAAGACUGAGAAACUCUCCCAGAUUAAUAGAAACUACAAGACAUGACAAUUGAAUGCAUUGUAUGAUUUAGAAUUUUUUUCUUUUCACUUCUUUCUUUUUCUUUUUUUUCUUUUCUCUUUUCAUUUCUCUUUUUUCUUUUUCUUUUCCUUUUUCUUUUUUUACUUUGAGACAGGGUCUAGCUCUGUUACCCAGGCUGGAGUACAGUGGCGACAUCACACCUCACUACAGUCUUGACCUCCUGGGCUCCGAAGAUCCUCCCACCUCAGCUUCCCAAGCAUACCUGGAACCACAGCCAUGUAAGACGUGCCUUCUGCCUUCUACCAUGAUUGUGAAGCCUCCCCAGCCAUGUGGAACUGAAAAAUGAAUGGAUCAAAAAAUAAAUAAAACUGGAUUCAGAAAUUUAGUCAAAAGGACAGCUCAGGGCAUAGUCAACUUUACCACCAGAACAUUUCAACUUCAUUUCUGGAUAUCUUUUAUUUACUUUCACUAGACUGCCAAUUUCAUGAGGUUGGGGCCACAUUUUUCUGUUUGUUGCUGCAUCCCUAGAGUCUAACAGAGUGCAUGACACUUAGUAAGAGUGCAAUAAAUAUUGGCAGGAUAAAUGCUGACCCCCAAGUGUCCCCCAGGUACUCAAUCACCAAAGGAAGAUUUCAAUUGUGAUCAUCACCGGCCAAGAAAGAAGAUGCAAUAAUUUUAUAAAGAUUUUCAAAAAUGAGGUGUGGUAGAUUAAAGCUGACCACAAAUUCUUUGCUAAUCCUCUCAUUGAGAAAUGCAACCUAAUUCCUUCCCUUAGAAUCUUAACUGACUUUAGUGACUUGGUUGACCAAUGGAAUGUGGCAGAAGGGACAUUCUCAAACUUCUGAGACUAAGUCAUAAAAGGACUUUUGAGUUCCACGUGGGCCUCUAGAGAAAAUGUUCCUCUUUCUGUGAGGCUUCGGCUGCCAUGGAAGAAGCUCAAGUACACUGGGGUCUCUGUGCUUGGGAGAGGCCAUCUGUAGGCAGCCCAGUUAAGUCUUCACUGAAUGGGUUUUAGCCAGGUCCUCCAAGUCUCUACAAGGCACCAGAGUUCAGAAAAUUUUUUCUGUAAAAGGCCAGAUAGUAAAUAUUUGAAGCUUCGAAGGCCAUAUAGUCUCUGUCAUGACCAAUCAACUCUGCUGUUCUAGCAUGAAAGUAGCCACAAUGCAUGAAUAAAUGACUGUGGCUGUGUUUCAAUAAAAUUUCAUUUACAAAAACAGAUGCCAGAUUGGAUUUUGCCUGAAGACCAUAGUUUGCUGACCUCUGCUCUAGACCAGCCCAAGUGCCCUCUGCUAAUAUUGCAUGGAACAGAAGAAUCAUCUAGCUGAGCCCUGCCCAAAUUCCUAACCUGCAAAAUUAUAAGUUACAAUGAAACAGUUGUUGUUUUAAGCCACUAAGUUUGGGGCAGUUUGCUAUACAGCAACAAAUAACGAGAACAAAAGAGCUGGAACCAAAAAAAUGUCUGGGGUAAGGAAGGUAGGGAUAACUCUCACUCCAUUCCCCAUAAGCACUACAGUUGCUACACAUGAGCACUGAGAAGAAAAUACAGGCAUAAUCACCCGGGACUGGAUUAUAAGAGAUUCUGAUUCAGCAGGCCUGAACUGGGAUCCAGGGAUUUGAGUUGUCGACAAGUACCAAAGGUUUUGCCGAUCCAGAGAGUCAUCCGACCACACUUUGAGAAACUUCUUCCUGUAAGCCUCACAACAUGAAGAACAAGCUCAAAGACGUCAGGUGGCUCACCCAAAGUCACCCAGUUGCACAAUGCAGAGAAAAUAUAUUACUUACAUAUUCAGAAAAAAAACAGCAUAGGGAGCAUCGUGGAAGGAGAAUCAAGACAAAGAAUGAGAGAAUGAAUUAUGAAGAAACAAAAACAAGAGUUAAACCCUCUACAGUGAGCAUUCAGAGUUCUCCAGAGAAACAGACCCAAUAGGGCGUGUGUACGUGUAUGUGUGCCUGUGCGUGUGAACAGGGAGGAAUAGGGCUUCCCUUGCCCUGGUGGUGCAGCCUUCACUACAGUGCAGCCUUCAUUGGUUUUCUCUCCUUCCGUAUCUCACUUCCCCAUCCCUGCCGUUGCUUCCCGAGAUCACAUCCCAAAUAAACCACUUCAACCC